UAAAAAAUGCGACGAACAUUGAAUGCAAAAGCUAUCGUAAGCGAAAUACACCCACGCAUGCCCUGCUCGACUAUAAGAAUUUAAUCUUCCAAGCUUUCACGUUGCAAGGGCAGAAGGAAGAAACGAUAAAUAAGAGUUAUUCAAGUCCGCUAGAAUAUGGUGGACGGAUAGAGUAAAAAGUUGGAAAAUCCUUUCCGAUAAUAAUCGGCGAAAGAGAGCAAUGACCUAUAGUAGUAUAGGGAAGGAGGGUGAACUCGUGUCACGACAAUGCUAGGGAUGAAACAAUCGUCCACGGAAAGAAACGAACCGUACCUGUCCUUUUAUCACGCGAUCUCGUGACGGAAAGACGGCAACAUGUCUCGUGAAAAUUGCAUCAUUAUCUCCCAAUCAAAAUAUUAGCUUUUAAACAAAUGUUAAAGCACUUGUCGGGGUACCUUCAACUUUUGCGUUCUAAUGGAAUUCAAUCGAAUGAAUGGAGCAAAUAGCUAUCGAUAUAAAAAGUAUCUAUGUAAUAGAUAAACUAUAAUGCGUCUCUUGACGCAUCUAUCUAGUUGGAUUUAAUAAUAAAGUUUUCAUAAUAUUUUAUAUAUGUAAAAGAUUAAAUAUAAAUCGAACGGACAAAGUUUAUUUGUUAUUAAUGCAAUCAUCGAUACGUGUACACAUGUGUACGCUAGUAUAUUUUCCACGGGUAUCUUUUAUGCAAUUUUAUUCUAUAUCCUACGCGAUAAAAAGUCUUUAACUGGGCCGAAUAAGAACUUAUCUUUAAAAUAGAAAAAAGUAAUAGUUUGGUUUUAUUUCCAAAUUUUCUCAGAGGGUAUUUUAAUGAUCAGUUAAGUUGUCUUUUUUAUUAAUUUACAUUCGCUCGAAAAUAUUACAAUUGUGUGUAUUAAAAAAGGAAUAAUCUUAAGUGCCAGAUACAAAUAUGCGUAUUUUUCUUGAUCCACAUUUGAUUAAAAAUCUUUGGAGAUGGGCCAGACAAUGCGAGCCAUCCAAAUAUCGAAUCGAGUCCAUUCGCUUCGAUUAAACAAAGUCCAUUCUUUGAUCGUUCCUUUUUUUUGCACUUUUCUACGCCGCUAGGACGACCUGGUUUUACGGUCGGUUUGCGUUUCCGGUCCGGAAACUUCGGCGAAGUGUUCAACGUCCAACGCAUUCAAGUGUCGCGCGUCCCUCGCGUUCGAAUAAAAAACGAAAUCUUAAUCGAAUCUCGGAAUCCAUCUAUUUGUUGGAUAAUGCGUGCCCUUCUUUCAUUUGUUGUCGAAAUACUCAUACGUAUUAUCAUCAGCUUUAUGUGCACCACCCAGCGCAAAGAUAUUUUUAGACGGCAAUGGUCAGAUGUUAAAUCAAUAGAAAACCGAGUUCCUAUGGUGAGAAUCGGUGAAAUUGAUUUUGAAUAGCCCUACGUGAAGUUAUGCCUUUCUACCUCGCAUCUCCCGGCGGUAUCUCGCGAGAGAGAUACCAACGUGCCGGAUAUCUAAUGGAAAUCUUUCUGGAAUCGAUUUGUCUUUGACGAAAUUUAUUUGUCAUCAAAUUUCUAGAUUCAAAUUUGGAAUUUCGAGAGGAACGAAAUAUAAAUUCGUGAAAUAUAUGGAAAGUUUCGUAGAAUGAUCGUAGUAUCGCACGCGUAGUAUCGCACGUGCAGGUAUCGUGCCGAUAAUAAUAUCGAUUACCUGGCGCGCACUUGCGGCAAGCGUUAAAUUACUUAAGUUUACCUACCUACCCCUACCUAUUCUCUAAGCUGCCGAUGGACUUUCUAGUUGCAAAUGCGCAAAUUAAUGAACUACCACCCUUACACGAGGCACACACGGAUGUCUCUUUAGCUGUGUUUUCAAUAAUACGAUCAAAAUCGAUCAACCACGUGUGCAUUUGCCACGAAAUAUUCGAUUUUAGGUAUAAUGUAAAACUAACCAGCACCAGGUGGCAGAGUAGCUUGAACCCUCGUUGUGGCGGAACUUUGUAAAACCAAGAUCACUAUCUGUACGACAGCACCAAGGGAAGCGGAAAAUGCUGUUCGUACGAAAGUCCAAAGUAGCAUCGCGCGUUGGCCGAUGAGCGGCCGAGCUCGUGCACCGCUCUACUGAACUAUGCCUCGACCCUUGUGCUAUACCUUUCCACCUCUCUUUACGAUUCCACCUAUAUACAGGGUGUCGCGUCGAAUACUUACCCGGUAUAAAUGAUAUUAUAAUAACGAAAUAAAUUAGAGAAAA